rnacentral:rRNA from 1 species
AUGCAAGGGAUGGCUCUGGCCAUCCAACACUGUGAUCUCCCUGUCAUUGUUCAGUCGGAUUCUUCGGUCGCCCUCUCCGCCUUGUCUGGCGACAGUUUAUCUAGAUCAGCCUAUGGACAUUUAGUAGCUGAGAUUCGUUUUCUUAUGGUAGAUAGAGAGUUUAUUCCCUUGAAAAUUAGUCGUUUGCAUAAUAGGGUAGCAGAUCGUUUGGCACUGUAUAGCCGUACAGAGAGUACUACUGCUGUAUGGCUGGGUCGAGGUCCACCAUGUGUUGAGGACCUCUCGCCUCUUGAUUGUAACCCUGCACCUUUGGAAUAA